CUCAGGCAGAAAACCUCAUUAAUUUGUCAAGCACCUAUGACUGCAAUGGACCAGUAUCCAGAACAGAGCCUUCCUCACAAUCAUUUUACAGAUGAAGAAACUGAGGCCAAAAGGGUCAAGUGAUUUUCCCUGGGUCAUCUAGUUGGAAUGCACUGCCUCCCUCCUAACCUCUGCCUCAGGGUCCUUCUCUUCCUUUAAAAUGCAGCUCAG
rnacentral:lncRNA from 1 species